UGUUGAAAUUUUCAUCCAUUUUUAUUAUUAAAAACUGGUUUAGCUGACGAAAUAACUAGACAGUUACAUGUGGCGUGCCACGUAUACCUCAUGUUAACAUUCAAAAACCAGUUUUUAAAAGUAAAAAUGAAUGAAAUUUUUAACA
rfam:Gossypium raimondii Chr02_contig_34, whole genome shotgun sequence.